rnacentral:misc_RNA from 1 species
GAUGAAGAACGCAGCGAAAUGCGAUAAGUAAUGUGAAUUGCAGAAUUCAGUGAAUCAUCGAAUCUUUGAACGCACAUUGCGCCCUUUGGUAUUCCUUAGGGCAUGCCUGUUCGAGCGUCAUUUAAACCUUCAAGCUAAGCUUGGUGUUGGGUGACUGUCCGCCUCACGGCGGACUCGCCUCAAAAUUAUUGGCGGCCGGUACAUUGGCUUCGAGCGCAGCAGAAACGCGAACUCGGGCCCGUCGUAUUGGCUCCCAGAAGCUAUCUUCACAAUUUUGACCUCGGAUCAGGUAGGGAUACCCGCUGAACUUAAGCAUAUCAAUAAGCGGAGGA